rnacentral:rRNA from 1 species
GACGAACGCUGGCGGCGUGCUUAACACAUGCAAGUCGAGCGGUAAGGCCCUUUCGGGGGUACACGAGCGGCGAACGGGUGAGUAACACGUGGGUGACCUGCCCUCAGCUCUGGGAUAAGCCUGGGAAACCGGGUCUAAUACUGGAUAUGACUCCAUGACGCAUGUUGUGGGGUGGAAAGCCUUGUGCGGCUGAGGAUGGGCCCGCGGCCUAUCAGCUUGUUGGUGGGGUGAGGCCUACCAAGGCGACGACGGGUAGCCGGCCUGAGAGGGCGA